AUUUUUACCACACCUGUCCACUAGGUGGCCUCAGCCAAUCACCUGAGAGCCUUUGUGAGCAGCAUGUGACUGCAGCUUCCUUCCUGCCUCUGAAGCUGUGUUGUUACCUUGUUGCUUAUUUGUUGCAAAAAAUAAAAAGAAUGUUUGCUCUUAUCCCGGCUAACCAAGACACCCUGUUCGCACUGUGCAGCCCCUUCACUGACAGGCUGCUGCACGCGCGGUGUCUCACGGAGAGAUACCGCAGGUCCUUCCUUCCUGCAGCGGUCAGACUGUACAACCAUCAUGGCCCCCGGUACUGAAGUCCAGCUCUCCUGAGUCCUCUUUUCCAUCUGCGCUACUGCAGAAACAUCAGCCAACAGCAGCAGAACAUCAUCAACAGCAGGCAACAACAUCAGAGUUAAUACAGUCCUUCUUAAAUAAAAGUAAUACAUAUUUUUAGGCUUUGAUAUGA